AUGAAGCGGCAUGUUGCAAGCGGAGACGAAUCAAAGAUGAAAAAUGGUGGUGAGGUUGAAAGGUUAAUAGUGGCAGAGGGUAGUGUUGAAAUUGAAGGGAGGAGAUUGACGGAAUCGCGAAAUUGGAUACGACUUGAGGAAGAAAACAGAGGCGGAGGGAUUGUUGCUAGUGGAACGGUGGAAAUUGGUGGAAUGAAAGGGUUGGAUGUUGGACGAUAG